CGGAAGACUUUUAAGUGCAUAAAUAUCUGAAAACAGAAAAUACCAAAACUCAACAUAUGUUUCUACCCAGUAUCUAGUGUCACUGCUCAUGGACUACUAUGAAUUACUAGAACAAAAGUCUGAAAGAAAUAUACAAAAUGUUUGUCUCGAUACAAAGUAGAACAAACUGAAAUAAACAUAAGACAAAUUCCGGGCCCGCGGACGCAAGCAAGGCUAUCUCGAAGUCUUUGGACUGAAGAUCAGCUCCCAACUCUACUGCUGCGGUGGACCGUAAGCUGCUCCCUGAUCUGUGCACAAAAAGACACAGAAGUGUAGCAUCAGCACAACCGACCCCAUGUGCUGGUAAGUGCCUGACCUAACUCCGGCGAGGUAGUGACGAGGCUAGACAGGACCUACCACAAACACCUGUGCAAGAAUACAUAUAUACAAGGCAAGUAUAUAUCAAAUUUAAACAGCAAAAAGGGGGAAACAUGUGUGGGAGACGAUAGUACAAGUAAAAAAAAACAGCUAAUAAGAAUCGAAACUGAGCAAUUAACAACUAAUAAGAAACACCGAAUAGUUCAACAUAGGCACAAUAUACUUAUUUCAUACUCCGUUGCGGCAUGCAACCGAUCCUCAACAUUUAAUACCGUUGCGGUGUGCAACCCGAUCCUCGAUAAUUAAUACUGUUGCGGCGUGCAACCCGAUCCUCAAUAGGUAUAGUACCAUUGCGGCGUGCAACCCGAUCCUCAAUAAAAUAUAAUUAACACACCAAAUAUCCCGGCAAGGGAGAAUUCAAUAUAUACUUAAAUCCCGGCAAGGGAAAAGAUCAUAAAAUCUCACUUUUAAACAUUUAGCCAUCAACCGAUUCUAAGUCGAGCCAACACUCCAAAAUAUUCAAGUAUCACAAUUACUUCAUUAACUUUCCUCAACAAAUAGAAAUCGUCUCUAGAGCAUAGAUUUUUCAACACAAUCAUGAAGUUCAUAUCAUAUUGUUCGAAUUAACAAUUUAAGACACACGGUCAUGAUAGACUCGGGUGCAUAGAUACCCGUCACUAUACCUAUACACCGACUCCACAAUUAGCACGUAGCAAAUAAUAUCCUAAUCCUAUUCCCUUAAGCUAAAGUUAGAUC
rnacentral:lncRNA from 1 species